UCAGGUCCCACCCUCAAUCAGACUGGGCGACAGACGAGAAAUGCUUUAUGGAAAGAGUCAUGUUUACAAGCUCGAGGAAUCUAAGGGGCGGUAACAAAAUGAAACAAGUAAGGAAGGGGAAGUACUUUCAGAGAAGAGCAAGGCAUUCCAAUUGCCAGUUGAUCGAUCCUUUUCAUUCGAUUGAGUUCCGACCCCGAGUUCAACACACGGGUAAGCUUCUUCUUCCUCUUCUCAUCUUGAGUGUCUUUUAUUAUUACUGGAUGUAACCUAAAAGAAAGAAAAGGAUAACGCC
rnacentral:lncRNA from 1 species